rnacentral:rRNA from 1 species
GAUCAUGGCUCAGGACGAACGCUGGCGGCGUGCCUAACACAUGCAAGUCGAACGGAGAUAAAGAUUUCGGUUUUUAUCUUAGUGGUGCACGGGUGAGCAACACGUGAAUAACCUGACCCAAAGAGGGGGAUAACACCUGGAAACAGGUGCUAAUACCGCAUAAGACCACAAUGUCGCAUGACGAAGGGGUCAAAGAAAAUCGCUUUGGGAGGGGUUCGCGUCCCAUUAGGUAGUAGGCGGGGUAACGGCCCACCUAGCCGACG